UGGUUAUCAAGAACUGAACUAAACUAAACUAAACUAUUAAUGUAUUUUAAUUAUAUUCAGUUUUUGACCUAGUGAGUGAAAAUCUUUUGUAAAGAAGAUAAGGUUUGGGUAAGAAGUAAAAAUGAAAGUGAAAUGAGAAGCAGGAGUAAGAAGAAAGAAAUGUGCGGUUCAUAGAAGAUGAAAGAAGUGGAGAAAGGAUGAGAAAGAUGAAAUUUAUAGUUUGAAAUUGAUUUGCGGAGAAAG
rnacentral:lncRNA from 1 species